GGCUGCCGCGGACGGAGCAGAUUUCCUUGUUUAAAAAAAAAAAUUAAAGGGGAAAAAGCAAAAGCAUAUACAUGUAUAAUAUAUACAUACUUGAAUUAUAUAGAAAGUCACCCCACAGGAUCAUUCCAGAGUAAAAUCUUUGUUGAUCUUUCGUUAAAACAAAAACAACUACAGCGUCUGAAUGCAGCUCACAUUUCUCUGAGGCCUUUCCUGAUGCUUCCUUACCAGGACUAUUGAUCCACUUAGAAGAUACCAAAGCUAGUGUCAGAUUUUGUUGUGAAGAAAAACUUCUCUUCAGAAAAGAGAAAUGAAGAAUAAGUAGUCUGAAGUCUGUCAGGGUGAAGAUCUUCUCUAAUUGGAAACAAAAGAAUGGGGUAUGUGAUAUAUCAGAAACCGGCUUCCAUCUUACCUAUGUGGAGAGGAAACUAUAAAUGGAAUAGGAGAAAAGAAAACCAUUAAGAAGCUAUUUCUACUUAAACUGAAGUUGUAUGAACCCCAAGGAAAGAAUGGUAAAAACAAUCCUAAAAUUUAAAGAUUAAAAAAAAUCAAAUAUUAGUUAAAACAACUUUUGAAGAUAGCAAAUCAAACUCAUGGAUUUGGAAAGACUCUCAAGUAACUGAUGAAGAUAAUUCACACAAAUUUUUAUAGAUAAUACAAUAAACUUCAAAGAGAUACUUAGAUUGCAGCAGAAAUCUCUGGUCCACACCCUAAAACAAGUUCGUUUAUGGAUUUUCUUUCAUUGUCAAGGACACGAAGAAGACAAUGUGAGUGCAGACUCCCUGGACACCCACUAACCAAUGCAGAAGUGAAGACCAGGACAGUUCUCCAGAGUUUCCUUGUGGGAUCAGGCUGAAACCGACUCCCUGCAGGGCUCUUGUUUUUUGUCUCACCUUUGAUUACUUUCUCCUUUUUCUCUGUCUUACUUUCUUAUCUGCACAUGGAUCUUUCUCCUACAGUCAGCUCCAGGGAAUUGAAGAAGUUUAAGACAGAAACUUUGAAAGUUUGAGAUCCAUCAUUGCAGGGAAUACCUUUCUUUCUGGAAAAGAAGAGAUCCUUUUUGGGACUCUGAAGAUGACAAUGUUAUCAUGAGUUAUAUAAGAACAUAACUAGUUGCUUGUCAUAUUUUUAAUAUUUAUUUUUUAGUUGUACACAACAACUUUAUUUUGUUUAUUUACAUUUUAUGUGGUGCUGAGGAUUGAACCCAGGGCCUUUUGCACGUGCUGGGCAAGCGCUCUACCGCUGAGCCACAACCCCAGCCCUUGUCAUAUUUUUAAUAACGUGAUUUUUAAUAACGACACAAAUCACAUCCUUUUUCUGACUCUCGGUUAUCUGCAGUAUAAAAUGAUGGGCUCAGAUGAAGUGAUUGCUAAAGUUUCUUUCAGAUCACAAUUUCUAUGAAAUAAAACAGGGAAUGGCAAAUGAUGGACCAUCCACACUCACUAACUUAGAUAUUGUCUAUGCCUGUUUUCAUGCUACCACUGCAGAAUUGAGUAGCCUAAGUUGUUUAUUAUCAUCUUCAACAUUUUUUAAAACAAGUGAGGAAAUCCAGACAAACUAAGGUCAAGGAACUUUGCCAAGAUAGGGUAAGAACUGGCAGAGCUGACAUUCACAUCGAGCCAGUCUGCCGAGAGUUGGUGCUUUUAAGGAUGCUAAACUGCCUUCAUCUGGGAGGGACACAAUGAAAAUGGAUGUGUAAACCUACUGACUCAUAGUAAAAACAUCACAUUUGCUUUGUUCUUUGUAGCGAGUUCACAUCAACAGGAAAUCAUGUGGAAAAACAUGAAUGGAGGAGAAGGGGUGGGGGCACGUCUACAAGCUCAGCAAUGUUAGAAAAUAACACCAUGGAUAAAAUAUAACCUGCUUACAUUUUCAUCAUCACAUGCAGUUCUAAAAUGUGAUUUUGUGUUCUCUUCAUUUUUUUCCUUUUGGUGAAAAUCGCAGACACAUUCACAAAUUCACAACUAAGAUGCUUGACUUGGUCCUGAGCACACAGGCAUCCUGCGUCUCAGAGCGGAACUGAUCAUUUUAUGCCACUUCUCACUUCUCAUCCCCUUCCCACUUCCUCUGAGAUUGCAAUUCUGCUUAGACAACGUGAUGAAUGACAAUGCUGAGCGUUGAUGAUUUUGCUGUUGACAAUCCCUGGUGUUGCUGUGCAUCAGCCACUUUGUUUUGUAACAUUUGGAGGUUUUAGAUCUCAUUGAAAUGAAUCCUUCAAGAUGUACAUGCGUGUCCUUUUCCACUAAGGUAAAGACUCCUUUGGUGGAAAAAAGUUUGUACAUGUGUGUAAAUUGAAGAACAAGGAAACAUCGAGAAAGGAGAGGAUGGAGUCAUUUUCUACUUAUCUUCCUUAAAUGACAGCUAAAAUGCAGAUUGUGAAGAAAUAGUGGCAUCUGAUACAAAUUCCCCUUUCUUUCCUUUUAUAUAUAUAUAUAGAAAUAUAUAUAUAUAUAGAAAUAUAUAUAUAUAUAUAUAUAUAUUUUCCUUUUUGGUGAGUAUCUUUAUCAUUCAUAGGCGUUCCUUUUUUCUUUAUUGGUUAUUUUAGUUAUAUCUGACAAUAGGAUUCAUUUUGAUAUAUAUCUUAUAGAAGCGUAGAUUAUAAUGUGUUCUAAUUCACAGGGUUCUAACAAUCAUCUACUAUGAGAACCUGGCACAAAUAACUUGGUUUGGGACAUUACAGCUGUAAUUUAAUACUUUUCUUAAUGCUUCUUAAUGCACGUAAAGUGGUUGAUAAAUUUCUUACACUGCCCAGGUCAGAAUUGUCUUAAAUUACCACUUUUAGCAGUGUUUGGGUCUGUGACAAGGUUAAAACACUUUCUCCCUCUCUUGCUCCUCUCUGCCAGCCUGAUUGCCUGAUUUUUAAUCUUGUUAGCCACUAUGCUAGGAAUUUACUAUGCUUUACUUUGUUUACUUCAAUUUUCAAAGUGCCAUCCACAAUUUUCAGAUGAGGAAACUGAGGUUGUAAAAAGUUAAAGAACUUGCCCAAGUUUAUAUAACAAGUAACAACAAUAACAAAUUAUUAUAUUAAUACAAUAAUAAUAAGGAAGACUGUUACGUAAGUCAGUGGUUUCCUAAAACACUUUCUAUGGACCUGUAAUGCCAGAUUCAUGGGACCCCAAUGGACCUCCAGGAGCCGAAUCUGAUGCAAUCACCCAAGAGUCUUUAUUGCAAGCUCAAGCCUGAACCCACAACCUUUUUGGACGCAGUGGUCUCAAGGAGCAAGCCCCAGUCCUUUGUUCAGUGAGAUUUUAUAGGUUUGGGGGGAUACUCUGUGUGUCACAACAUCACACAGCAAAUCAUUCCACACCACGGAAAAACCAAACAACUCUUAACA